AACGGUUUAUAGGCCUAUGUCACGGAACAAUUGAAGACCGGAAGAAGCUCGCGGAGUAGGGUAACUGCUCUUCCGCUUAGCUUAGCUAAGCUGUUUACCAUGGCGGAGGCAGAUCGAUACCUGUGGACCAAGUCUCUCUCCAACCUACCUAAAUUGUCCUACGACGACGUCCUAAGGAUCGUAAAUCAGCACUCACGUGUCGAAACAUCUAAACUACGCAAAGGAUAUAAGUUCUUCUGGGAGAAGUACAUUUUUAAUUACAGAAACACAUGACUACCACUUCACAGGGGAGCAAAGCGUGCCAACACCUCUGUCGUGCACCAGUGUUCUGCAGUCGUGGACCAAGGACACAGGUUUAUGUGUAUACCUCAGGCCUAGCCAAACAUCCUGUAUAGUCUACUCAAUAAUAGUAUUCAAAGUUCUUGUAUAUAGACGGACGCGACUAACACUGACUUAAGUGUUGCUACACUGACAAUAUGAUUUAUGUGCUGACAUAUUUUUUCUUUUUGCUCCAGGGGAUUCGCUCCAGGGGAUUCGCCCGGAACCCACUGACCAACUUGUGGUCAGGAAACCCAAGGUUUGGGUUAGGUGUUUUAUUUUAACACAUACAUGGACACAUACCUCCUGAAUGCCAAGUAAAUAUGGCCGAGGGACACACACACCCCAUUUCAUUUAUUUCUGUUAAAUGUAUAUAUGUAAAUAUUUUAAUCAAAGAAUUGGAAACAAACAUUCCCGAACAUUUGUUUAAGGUAACACACUCUGAGCACCUUUAAAGCAAGCCUGAAGACUUUUAUGUUUGCAUUAGCUUUCUGCUACAUCAUAAAUACAUUGCACUUUCUAAAAAGCUUUUUUAACUUUGCCUUUAUUUUUUAUUUUAAUACUAAAAUGCCUUUAACUUUCUAUUUUACUCAUUUCUUUGCAUAUGUUUUCUUAUACUUAUCUAUUUUAUUGUAUGACAAUGUUUAUAUGUGAAGCACUUUGAGUCUGCCUUGUGUAUGAAAAGUGCUACAUAAAUAAAGUUGCCUUGCCUAACACACACAGAACAUUUCAUUUCUUUCUGUUAAAUGUAAAUAUGUAUAUAUGUAAAUUUAGAUUUAAAAAAAAGAAUUAGAAACUAACAUUAAAUAAACAUUUGAAAAGGACGGACGGACACAAACACACACACCAUUUUAAUUUCUUUCUGCUAAAUGUAAACAAAGAACAUUAAUAAACGUUUGAAAAUA